CCUACGGGGGGCAGCAGUGAGGAAUAUUGGUCAAUGGCCGAGAGGCUGAACCAGCCAAGUCGCGUGAGGGAAGACGGCCCUACGGGUUGUAAACCUCUUUUGUCGGGGAGCAAAGCGAGUCACGUGUGACUCCUUGAGAGUACCCGAAGAAAAAGCACCGGCUAACUCCGUGCCAGGCGCCGCGGUAAUACGGAGGAUGCGAGCAUUCUCCGGAUUUAUUGGUUUUAAAGGGUGCGCAGGCGGAGGUGCAGUGCUGCGGUAAAAUUGCGGGGCUCAACCCCGUACUGCCGUUGAAACUGCAGCCCUUGAGUGCGCGAGAGGUAUGCGGAAUGCGUGGUGUAGCGGUGAAAUGCAUAGAUAUCACGCAGAACUCCGAUGGCGAAGGCAGCAUACCGGCGCGCAACUGACGCUCAUGCACGAAAGCGUGGGUAUCGAACAGGAUUAGAUACCCUAGUAGUC
rnacentral:rRNA from 1 species